GAACGCUGGCGGUAUGCUUAACACAUGCAAGUCGAACGGAAACGAUACUAGCUUGCUAGUAGGCGUCGAGUGGCGGACGGGUGAGUAACGCGUAGGAAUCUGCCUGAUAGUGGGGGAUAGCCCGGAGAAAUUCGGAUUAAUACCGCAUAAUCUAUUCGUAGUAAAGUGGGGGACUUUCGAGCCUCACGCUAUCAGAUGAGCCUGCGUAAGAUUAGCUUGUUGGUAGGGUAAAAGCCUACCAAGGCGACGAUCUUUAGCUGGUCUGAGAGGAUGAUCAGCCACAUCGGGACUGAGACACGGCCCGAACUCCUACGGGAGGCAGCAGUGGGGAAUAUUGGACAAUGGGGGCAACCCUGAUCCAGCAAUACCGCGUGUGUGAAGAAGGCCUGAGGGUUGUAAAGCACUUUCAAUUGUGAAGAAAAGUUAACGGUUAAUAACCGUUAGCCUUGACGUUAACUUUAGAAGAAGCACCGGCUAACUCCGUGCCAGCAGCCGCGGUAAUACGGAGGGUGCAAGCGUUAAUCGGAAUUACUGGGCGUAAAGCGUGCGUAGGUGGUUUAUUAAGUCAGAUGUGAAAGCCCCGGGCUUAACCUGGGAACUGCAUUUGAAACUGGUAAACUAGAGUAUGGUAGAGGAAAGUGGAAUUUCUGGUGUAGCGGUGAAAUGCGUAGAUAUCAGAAGGAACAUCAAUGGCGAAGGCAGCUUUCUGGACCAAUACUGACACUGAGGUACGAAAGCGUGGGUAGCAAACAGGAUUAGAUACCCUGGUAGUCCACG
rnacentral:rRNA from 1 species